rnacentral:lncRNA from 1 species
UUUCCAGCAGCACUCCGGUGGUGACAGCACUCACAACUCUGCAGGCUGAUCCAAGGGCAGGAUGCACCACUGCUACGCCGCAUGGUGGGCUCUCCUGUUUCACACAGCACAAUAUCAAGGGUGUUGAGUCGUGGGUAUGGACUGUGAACAUGUGAACAUGUGAAACCAGCUGCAUUAAGUCCAGACAGCAUAUAAGUUAUUCCUUUAUUAUUUAUUUUUAGCAAUGGCCACGUAACUUACCAUUCAGUGUCUCUGUAAUUUUACUACAUGACCCUUAUUUCUGCUCUUCUGAUAAAAAUAAACAAAGGUAAUAAUUUUCACAAAAAAAGAACAGAAAAGAAGUAAGCCUCAUGUGUCCUCCACUGGAGAUUACCUUCACUCAAUUCCACUCUACUUUAGUCCAUUCCAUUCCAUUCCAUUCCAUUCCAUUCCAUUCCAUUCCAUUUUUUUUUAGCCUAUUCCAUUCUAUUCCACUCCACUCCAUUUCACUCAAUUCCACUCUGCUGCAUUCCACUCUAUUCUAUUCCAUUCUAUUCCAUUCCACUCCAUUCAAUGACUUUCUACUCAUUCCAUUCCAUUCCAUUCCAUUCCAUUCCAUUCCAUUCCAUUCCAUUCCAUUCCAUUCCAUUCCAUUCCAUACCACUUCAUCCCACUCCACUCAAUUCCACUCCAAUCCACUCCAUUCCAUUCCAUUCCAUUCCAUUCCAUUCCAUUCCAUUCCAUUCCAUACCACUUCACCCCACUCCACUCCACUCAAUUCCACUCCACUCCGCUCCAUUCCACUCCACUCCAGUCCAUUCCAUUCCACUCCAUUCUAUUCAAGUUCAUUUCUUCCUACGUUCCGUUCCAUUCCAUUCCAUUCCAUUCCAUUCCAUUCCAUUCCAUUCCAUUCCAUUCCAUUGUGUUUCUUUUACUCCAUUCAUCUCAUUCCACUCCACUCCACUCCACACCAUUCCAUUUCUUUUAUUCCAUUCAUCUCAUUCCACUCCAUUCCACUCCAUUCUAUUCCAUUCCACUCCACUCUAUUCAAGUCCAUUUCUUUCUAUUCCAUUCCAUUCCAUUUCACUAAAUUCCAUUUCAUUUCAUUCUACUCCAUUCUUCUGAAGUCCAUUUCUUUCUACUCCAUUGCAUUCUGUUCCAUUCCAUUUCUUUUACUUCAUUCAUCUCCUUCCCUUCCCUUCCCUUCCCUUCCCUUCCCUUCCCUUCCCUUCCCUUCCCUUCCCUUCCCUUCCCGUCAGUUCUAUUCCAC